UCUGUGCAAUGAACAGGUAAUAUAUUAUAGAAGCUUAUUAGAACUGUUUUCUUGAAGUUGCUGUUGUUGAGUUACAUAAAUACGACAUUUGAAUGAGCUGUGAUAUCGCUCUUUACGGGAAACAUGAAUUCCCAUGUUUG